rnacentral:rRNA from 1 species
ACCCGUUGAUCCUGCGGGAGAUUGCUGCUAUCAGGAUUCGACUUAGCCAUGCAAGUCUGGGGGCCUUCGGGUCACCGGCGGAAUGCUCAGUAACACGUCGUUAAUCUGCCCUUGGGUCUGGGAUAACCUCGGGAGACUGAGGCUAAACCCGGAUAAGGGACACAAUCUGGAAAGAUGUGUCCUCUAAAGGUGACGCCUAAGGAUGAGACGGCGGCGGAUUAGGUUGAUGGUGGGGUAACGGCCUACCAUGCCUUUGAUCCGUAGGGGCCUUGAGAGAGGUAGCCCCGAGAAGGACACUGAGAUACUGGUCCUAGCCCUACGGGGUGCAGCAGGCGCGAAACCUUUACAAUGCACGCAAGUGUGAUAAGGGAAUCCUGAGUGCUCAAGCAUUGCUUGGGCUUUUUGUCAAGGGUAAAGUCCUUGGCGAAUAAGUGGUGGGCAAGACUGGUGCCAGCCGCCGCGGUAACACCAGCGCCACAAGUGGCAGUCAGCAUUACUGGGCCUAAAGCGUCCGUAGCCGGUUUGGAAAAUCCUUUGUGAAAUCGUCGAGCUUAACUCGGCGGCGUGCAGGGGACACUACCAGACUUGGGACCGGUGAGGAGUCAGAGGAAUUAGAGGGGGAGCGGUAAAAUGCAAUAAUCCUUCUAAGACCACCUGUGGCGAAGGCGUCUGACCAGAACGGAUCCGACGGUGAGGGACGAAAGCUAGGGGAGCGAACCGGAUUAGAUACCCGAGUAGUCCUAGCUGUAAACGCUGCGAGCUAGGUGUUGCAUAUUCUCCAGGAUUAUGCAGUGUCGGAGCGAAGGUGUUAAGCUCGCCGCCUGGGAAGUACGGUCGCAAGACUGAAACUUAAAGGAAUUGGCGGGGGAGCACCACAAGGGGUGCGGCGUGCGGUUUAAUCUAAGUCAACACAGAGAAUCUCACCAGCAGCGACGGCAGGAUGAAGGUCAGUCUGAAGGGCUUACCUGACGAGCCGAGAGGUAGUGCAUGGCCGUCGUCAGCUCGUGCCGUAAGGUGUCCUGUUAAGUCAGGCAACGAGCGAGACCUGUACCUACACUUGCUAGCGAAAUCUUCGGAUUGAUCGAGCACAGUGUAGGAACUGCUUGGGAAACCAAGAGGAAGGUGCAGGCUACGGUAGGUCUGUAUGCUCCGAAUCCGCUGGGCUACACGCGCGCAACAAUGGUAGGGACAAUGGGAUGCGACUUCGAAAGGAGGAGCUAAACCUCAAAACCCUAUCUCAGUUCAGAUCGAGGAUUGUAACUCAUCCUCGUGACGAUGGAAUCCCUAGUAAUCGGAUUUUAUCAGAGUCCGGUGAAUAUGUCCCUGCUCCUUGCACACACCGCCCGUCAAGCCAACCGAGCAGGGCUUAGGUGAGCACAUGCUUUUUUGGCAUGUCCGAAUCUAGGUUCAGUGAGGUGGGCUAAGUCGUCACAAGGUA